rnacentral:lncRNA from 1 species
GGAUGGGAGAGCAGCGAGAAAGCAGAAAAACCAGCUUUGAACUCUGCGUGCAAGGCCUCCUGAGCCUCAGGCCCCAGCCAAAGAUGCUGCGGGAUUCUACAGCUCAGCAGAGCAUGGGGGCAGGGCAUGCCAGGCGAGUGACCUCAGUCCUAGUGUACUCUCUCUAACACUCAAGUGGAAGACGCCUGAUGGUGUUCUCUGCACUGCAGUUGUGGGCGACUGGAGCAGCUGCUGCUUGGAUAGCAAGCUGCUGAUCUCCUUUUCAAGAGCCCCGAGGCAGAGCAAGGAGAAGGGAGCCAUGAGAGAGCCUAUGCCUGGGCAUCUUGGGCACCCUGGGUAUCCUGAGAGGUGGCACCACAGCAGUCACAGCAGUCCCUGAGAGGACAGGGGUGGACAGGCCAGAGCUGCAGUGCUCUUCCCUCCU